CAUCGCAGCUCGCCGCUGCUGCCUCCCGUCCUUUCACGGCGACUCAGCGCCGUCGCUGACAUCUCUGGCUGAGGCAGACGCUGCUCGGUCCGCUUCGCAGACCAGCGCCGCCGCCGCCGCCGCCCGUCGGCCUUAAAGCUAAGUUCUUUUUCUCCCUUUCAUUACUUAGUAUAUUUGUUUGAAACUUGGACAGUAGCUAUGUGAAAUUAAAAUCCUUGUAUUUGUUCCUGGCGGUGAAGUUCAUAUUGUUUUGCUACUGAAUUUGGCCUAUGAGGCAGACUAUGGUUUUCCUUAAACUAGCUUGUUAUGAUGUGGAAGUUCUGGAGCUCCAAGUUCUUGAGUCUAUACAUGAGGUUCGAAAAAGACAGAGGGUGUGCUUGUGUCUCUGUGAUUUCAUUUAAGAUUUAGCAUUCUAUUCGAGAUUUCUAAGUUGAGGCGCUUCUACAUAUGCUUGUGCUUGUUUUUCCUACUAUUUCUGUUGUAGAUUUGCAAAGUGAUAUCUUUGUGCUUAAGCAUGGUUGUGUAGUGAUUUUCUACAUGGAUGAAAAGGGAGUCAUAAGGAGAGUUGUGUGUUACCUCUUGUGAUAGUGAAGGAAUGGGGCUGUCCUUGUUGCUGCUCACUAUUUCGUUCCACUCUCUAACUCUCUAUACUGCUGGAAAUUUUGAAGUAUGUGGAAGGGAGUUCAUAAGUGGUGUGGAGGGGUUUUUAUAGGCAAGAGUGUGUACUCUUGAAGCCUUAAUUGAAGCUGUUGUAUUUUCUUGUUAUUUUCCUGCAGCAAAUCUCCCUUUUCUUUGAUCUUUUGCAGCCACUUUAUCUUAAUGUAGUUUGGUGCCUAGUUUGGGUACUUGGUACUUGGCUAAUGAAUUCCAUUGUUUGAUUGUGGCUGGUAGAAACAUGUGCUGCAUAGUGUGGAGGAUUUUGCAGGAUUGACUUUCCCCUCUUGGUGAGUCUUUGGUCCUCCAUAGCAAAAGGAAAGGUGAGAGAGAAAUCUUGGCUACUACCUAGCUGUCUCGGAGAGUGGGCUCGCUGCCCUGGGCCCGGUGGCCGAUCAGAUACGGGCCGCGACUUUCGGCCCGGAAGAAGAGGCCCGAUGCCAUUUGUUCCAUGCACGUUUUAUCUUUUUAGUUGUUCAUUGUAUUGCCUAGUAAUGCUAUUCGAAAAUCCGUGAUAUUCUACACGUA